rnacentral:rRNA from 1 species
GACGAACCGUGCGAACGUUAUUCGGAAUCACUGGCUUAAAGGUGCGUAGCGGGUUGCCAAGUCUGUGGUGAAAUACCUCCCGGCUUAACCCGGGAGAACGUGCCGUGGAUACUGGCGACCUCGAGGGUGUAGGGGCUUGCGGAACUGUGCGUGGAGCGGUGAAUGCGUUGAUAUGCACAGGAACUCCGGUGGCGAAAGCGGCGAGCUGGACACCUUCUGACGCUGAGGCACGGAAAGCCAGGGGAGCGAACGGG